UUCAUGCAUACUAUAAAUUUGUGAAAGCAUAUAACUAUAUUCUGCUAUUGUUUCUUCUUGUUUUAACAAGAAUGGAGUUGCUGUAUGAAUUUCAGUAAUCACAACUUCUUUUUGCACUAUAUAUUAUGCCAACCAGUUCAUUUUUUAUAUUUCUAAAACCAAGCAUCGCUUGCAGUAAAUAUUUCAUCAUAAUAGCCUUCUUUCUUAUCAUUAAGCAACUUAAAAAUAGAUAAAGUUUUAGCACAAACAAUAGCUUGCAUAAUAAACAUGUUUAAUCACAGCAAUUGUUCAAUUGUCCAUGUUGAUAAAUGCAUUUCCAUGUGAACAAUAAGGUUUAUCACUUCUUUUUGUCAUGUUCUAUCAAGAAGUGAAUAUUUGUAAUUUCAUUCAAAUAUUUUUCUUUAUCCAUUAAAAUCAUUAAUACAGUUGAAAAUUUUUGAACCUAAAUCUUUAAUGAUUCUUCCAGCACUUCGUUCAUUUAUGAUCUUAUAUUUUACUUCUGAAGUUAUUGUUUUCCAUUUCUUUGUAUCUUCUAUAGCAUUCCCUCCUUAUUAUCUUUGCAUUUUGCCAUAUUGGAAGCAGAUAGCAUAAUUAAAAUGAAUUCAACAUGAUAUGCUGUGAUUUAUAGCUAGAAUUAACCGAAAAAUCACCCAUCAAGCUAAAAAAAAUAGCUAUAAGAACUGCAUUUUAUUAAAGAAUUAUUAUAACAAAUUUAAAUAUAGCUUCUUUUAGAAAGAAAACAAUCCAACAAAAUUUAUUUAUCAUACCUUAUAACUUAUUACUUUUUAACACUGAGCAGGAAGUUGAUUCAAGUAUGUGGGGAAGCUGAUAAGCAUUAGUAAGCUUAUGUAUUGGGUUAUGGGUAUAAGCUGUAGGUAGCCAACUAGCCCAUACAUUUUUCAACUAUAACUCCUAUGGCUAUUUCGAAAUUGCCAUAUGUGAUUAAUCCUUAAACUUGCUAGUCAUUUUACCAUAGUGUAAUUAGCCAUCUAAUUAAAAUGAUAAAAACCACUCUAAAAGACUAGCUAGAUUGUGCUACAUUAUUUUUUAAAUCAACAAGAUUUAUAGCUAUAUGCUACGUGACUAUUUUCAUUAGCUAUGUUAUCUUAAAACAUGCUAGAUCUAACUAGAAAUUAUCUAAAUUAGCAACCCCUGAUUGGAAGGAUGAACUAAUUCAAAUGUUUUCAUAAGAAAGAGAGUAGCAGGCAGAAUGUCAAUACAAGUGUGCACACACAAUGUCAACAUGUAAAUUAACUGAAUGACUGAAUGAACAAACAGAUACUCAUGAACACAUUAUCAAGUUGCACAGAGUCAUUUGACUGCGGCCAUGCUAGAGCACUGCCUUUAGUUGAACAAGUCGACGCCUGGACUUAUUCUUUCUCCCAAAAUGACCGGAAAUCAUCUUAUGCACAGUCCUAGAACUAAAGAAGCAAACAUCCCAUCUCCAAACAAUGGCACGCAGUAGCACCACACCAUUAUUGUUUGAUGGGAAAUAAACAAUAGCUUCAGUGGAAAGUUUACAAGGGAAAAAGGUGAAUGAGAAACAAAACAAAAAGAAAACUCAACACAAAACAACUAUAACAGGAGUGAAGGAACAACUUCUACAAAGCAACAGUCACAUCACUCUUGAGAAUGAUAUGGAAGAAGAUGAACAACUGAAGUUACUCUCCUUGAACAAUGAAUUCACAUAUUUGAGGUGCUGGGGUCAUUCCAAUGAAGUAAAACUAAGAAAGGCACAGUUAACUUUAGAAUACAAGAGGUAUAUAAAAGAAAACUUGUUAGCCAAGACAAAACAAUGACACUAGAAUCAACUAAAAAUAACUCUAAUCUGCAGACAUGGGUGUUUAAUUACCCUAACUGACUCCAAAAUUUUUCAUGGGUGCUUUUGGAUGCACAAAACUACAUUGUAAGCAAUGACACUUGAGUAGGAACAUGAAGUACUGCAACUCAACAGAGCUGGUAAUUGUGUCAUAACUGUUUAAAUUAUUGUGUUUUUUUCAUACUUUUUCUAAUUUAUUUUCAUUUAAAUAGUUGCACCUUAAACAUUUUCUUCAUCCAUAUAUAUGUGUUCACACACAAACACAUAAUUGUCCCACUACAUAUGCUUCGUGGCAUUUCCUUUGGCUCUUUGUGUUCAAAUUUCACUGAGAUCAACUUUGUAUUUCUUCCUUCUAAGAUUUAUAAUAUAAGUACCAGUCAAAUAUUGUAAUCAAUGUAAUUAACUUGCGCCCUCCCCUCAAAAUUGCUGACCUUGUGUAAUUGACUAGUCCCUCUCCCUCAAAAUUUAGGACUUGUGCCUAUAGUAGAAAAGAUUAUUAUCAUUAUUUUAUGUUUGACUUCUGUUUUUCAUUUGUACAAGUUGGAUCCAAGUCUCACCCAGAGACCUCAAGAGACAACAAGUUAGAAGUUCAUGUAGGUGUUAUGCCUAGGGUACCAUAUAUUUGGAUUUGUACAUAGUGUUGUUCUAGAGAAUGUUUAAGAAACCAUAAGAUAAUAAUGUGUUUGUAUUAAAAUUUGAGA